GGAUGGAGAAGAGGGUAUUGGUGUUGGGACGAGUAUGCCAAAAAGAGAGAAGAUUGAGGAUGCAAGCACAGCAAUGAGACAGGGAGAUGGAAAAAGAGAAUAUUGUUCCUCACCCUGGCUCCCCUGUGCAGCCGGUCCUUCAUGAUGCCGAUGAACUCCUUGUAGGAGAGCUGAUCGUCGUGAUCUACAUCAAAAAUCUUGAAGAUGGUGUUUACAAGGUUAUCCAUAAACCUGGAGAACAGACAGGAAGGGAGAGGAGAAACAGGAGAUCGUAAACGCAGAGCCAACCGCCCUGUCCACUCCAUGGCCAUGCUGAGGAAUAUGCAGACAUCAGAUCGGGAGAAAUCUCAUGUCCUUCUAAGGAGGAAGAGCAUUUAUGCCAUUUCCAUCAGCAUCAUCAUAGUUAUCAUCAUCACCACAAUGCCAUCUGUGUUUCUACCUCGAGGGUAAAAUCCUAAAAUCCGAUGUGGGAUAAGAAGAAAAUGUCAAACAAGAUAACACAUGUUUACAGAAGAAAAAAAAAGAAAUGCGUGUUCAAAUCAAGACGUUGUAGGUUUUGUUGUGCUUGUUUGGUGUAAUACAUUGUGAUUUCUACCAGAAAGUAGCAAACGAAUAUGAGAGAGUUGCAGAGAUAAAACUUUGUAUAUUGAGCUGGAUGAGACGUAAGCACUGUGUAAAGUUUAAGUUACGUUACAAACACAGUGAGGGUUACAAUCUUAUGGAAACUUUUUUUAUUAUCAUUGAGAAACUGAAAUCAACAGAUAAUGGCUGUGUUAAGAUGGCAAAACCUCCACUAGUUUUUAAAUUCUUAAGGACAUGAUCGAUCAAUGGUUAUAUUGAUAUAUUCAUCUUCACAGAUUGUUGAAUUUGAAUAUUUUUUAGAUGCCUGGAGGGUUAAAACAACGGUAGAAUAAUAAAAAAUAUUUAAUGGGACAGAAAAAUGUUUUUGUUCCUCUUUCCUAACUUGUUGAUCAUAUCUUCCCAGGUUAGAAACCACAGGGAAAGAUGAUUAGUGAACUAAAAUCUACACUGGCAAAGGUUCUUUAUGUAAGGAUUCAAGGCAGUUAGCCCAAUCGGAUUAUGGAUCUCAGUUUUGGGUACUUGCAUGCACCCUAUUAAUAUUCUGUACAGUGAGAUGUAGUAGACUAAGGCACUAACCAAAUUGCAAAUAAAAUGUCUUCUAGUAGAUCUUGCUGUAAUUGAAACA